CGGACGGGUGAGUAAUGCCUAAGAAAUUGCCCUGAUGUGGGGGAUAACCAUUGGAAACGAUGGCUAAUACCGCAUGAUGCCUACGGGCCAAAGAGGGGGACCUUCGGGCCUCUCGCGUCAGGAUAUGCCUAGGUGGGAUUAGCUAGUUGGUGAGGUAAGGGCUCACCAAGGCGACGAUCCCUAGCUGGUCUGAGAGGAUGAUCAGCCACACUGGAACUGAGACACGGUCCAGACUCCUACGGGAGGCAGCAGUGGGGAAUAUUGCACAAUGGGCGCAAGCCUGAUGCAGCCAUGCCGCGUGUGUGAAGAAGGCCUUCGGGUUGUAAAGCACUUUCAGUCGUGAGGAAGGUGGUGACGUUAAUAGCAGCUUCAUUUGACGUUAGCGACAGAAGAAGCACCGGCUAACUCCGUGCCAGCAGCCGCGGUAAUACGGAGGGUGCGAGCGUUAAUCGGAAUUACUGGGCGUAAAGCGCAUGCAGGUGGUUUGUUAAGUCAGAUGUGAAAGCCCGGGGCUCAACCUCGGAAUAGCAUUUGAAACUGGCAGACUAGAGUACUGUAGAGGGGGGUAGAAUUUCAGGUGUAGCGGUGAAAUGCGUAGAGAUCUGAAGGAAUACCGGUGGCGAAGGCGGCCCCCUGGACAGAUACUGACACUCAGAUGCGAAAGCGUGGGGAGCAAACAGGAUUAGAUACCCUGGUAGUCCACGCCGUAAACGAUGUCUACUUGGAGGUUGUGGCCUUGAGCCGUGGCUUUCGGAGCUAACGCGUUAAGUAGACCGCCUGGGGAGUACGGCGCAAGAUUAAAACUCAAAUGAAUUGACGGGGGCCCGCACAAGCGUGGAGCAUGUGGUUUAAUUCGAUGCAUCGCGAUAAACCUUACCUACUCUUGACAUCCAGAGAACUUUCCAGAGAUGGAUUGGUGCCUUCGGGAACUCUGAGACAGGUGCUGCAUGGCUGUCGUCAGCUCGUGUUGUGAAAUGUUGGGUUAAGUCCCGCAACGAGCGCAACCCUUAUCCUUGUUUGCCAGCGAGUAAUGUCGGGAACUCCAGGGAGACUGCCGGUGAUAAAUCCGGAGGAAGGUGGGGACGACGUCAAGUCAUCAUGGCCCUUACGAGUAGGGCUACACACGUGCUACAAUGGCGCAUACAGAGGGCAGCAAGCUAGCGAUAGUGAGUAAUCCCAAAAAGUGCGUCGUAGUCCGGAUUGGAGUCUGCAACUCGACUCCAUGAAGUCGGAAUUCGCUAGUAAUCGUGGAUCAGAAUGCCACGGUGAAUACGUUCCCGGGCCUUGUACACACCGCCCGUCACACCAUGGGAGUGGGCUGCAAAAGAAGUC
rnacentral:rRNA from 1 species